CUUUGGUGCCUUAAAUCCUAGGAGAAGGACUUUGUACUUAAACCGAAAGAAAACAGGGAAGUGUUCCAUUAUCUGGAGCAGGUAGGUCACUGUCUUGAUGAACAUAGUGUGCCUUAAGAAUGCAGCAGGUCGUUGCAGACCGCCGGAUGGGAAUGCGGCAGAACCAGUUAGGAAGUCACUGCAGUGACCCUGCGCUGGAGGGAAGAAGAGCAAGAUGGUUGCGGCAGCAUGGAGAGGGGAAGAACUACAUCUACUAGCUAUGGCAAAAGAAAUGAUAAUGAGAACUGAGAUUUGCCGAGUUUCCACGACUGGCUAGGCUGUGCCAACACCACCAAGAGCUGGACCUAGAAAUUCUGCUUUGGACUCCAGGGUCCUGCACAUAAGAAAUGUAGAUACAACUGACUUUGGGUCCUGUGGUAAGGGAAUCACUUCCACUAAUACUGCCUUUCUGGAGCUCUGCCCUAAAAUAUGUUAUACCAAAGGGCCCUGAGGGUACUUUGCUGGAGAUGUUAUUUGAUUCAAAUCAAUUCAAUUCAAAAUCAUAUACUGAGUGCCUACUACUUAUCAGCACUGGGGUAGGAGUGGGAGAUCAGCCAAAGAUGAAAACAACCCAGACCUUGAAGCUGAUUAUCAUUUAGGAGUCUUAAAUCUUCCUGAAGUUUGUUCUGAUCCAGACUCUUGUCUUUUUAAAAUCUUUAACGGGUAUCUUUUGCUUUCAGAUUUUUUUUUCAUCUCAAUACUAAAUUUAACUGGACACUAUGCUAAGAAUUGAUGAUACCAUUUCAAAAAGUUACAUUGCUGAUUGCAGCCGUUGUUGAUAGCAUCUGAGUCACCAACACAACAAGCUUGUAUCAGUCCAAAUUGCAACUGUAACAUUUAUAGUUUUGCUAUGUAUAGUUGCAAGCAUCUGACUACUGCUUCAUAACUUCUGGUAUAGCUAUGCAUAAGCAAUUACAUACUGAAAUACAUAUUAUUUUAUUAUAAAUAA